rnacentral:rRNA from 1 species
GGAGCUUGCUCCUGUGACGCGAGUGGCGGACGGGUGAGUAACACGUAGGCAACCUGCCCACCAGACCGGGAUAACCACGGGAAACCGUGGCUAAUACCGGAUAAUCCUUCCCCACACAAGUGGGGGAGUUGAAAGGCGGCUUCGGCUGUCACUGGUGGAUGGGCCUGCGGCGCAUUAGCUGGUUGGUGGGGUAACGGCCCACCAAGGCGACGAUGCGUAGCCGACCUGAGAGGGUGAUCGGCCACACUGGGACUGAGACACGGCCCAGACUCCUACGGGAGGCAGCAGUAGGGAAUCUUCCGCAAUGGACGAAAGUCUGACGGAGCAACGCCGCGUGAGUGAAGAAGGGUUUCGGCUCGUAAAACUCUGUUGUCAGGGAAGAACGCCGACGGGAGUAACUGCCCGUCGGGUGACGGUACCUGACCAGAAAGCCACGGCUAACUACGUGCCAGCAGCCGCGGUAAUACGUAGGUGGCAAGCGUUAUCCGGAAUUAUUGGGCGUAAAGCGCGCGUAGGCGGUUCGUUAAGUCUGAUGUGAAAGCCCCCGGCUCAACCGGGGAGGGUCAUUGGAAACUGGCGAACUUGAGUGCAGAAGAGGAGAGUGGAAUUCCAUGUGUAGCGGUGAAAUGCGCAGAGAUAUGGAGGAACACCAGUGGCGAAGGCGGCUCUCUGGUCUGUAACUGACGCUGAGUGCGAAAGCGUGGGGAUCAAACAGGAUUAGAUACCCUGGUAGUCCACGCCGUAAACGAUGAGUGCUAAGUGUUAGGGGUUUCCGCCCCUUAUGCUGCAGCUAACGCAUUAAGCACUCCCCUGGGGGUACGCCGCAGGUUGA